AGGACGAACGCUGGCGGCGUGCUUAACACAUGCAAGUCGAGCGGUAAGGCCUUUCGGGGUACACGAGCGGCGAACGGGUGAGUAACACGUGGGUGAUCUGCCCUGCACUCUGGGAUAAGCCUGGGAAACUGGGUCUAGUACCGGAUAUGACCUGCUCUCGCAGUGGGGGUGGUGGAAAGUAUUUAGUCGGUGCGAGGGAGUCGGGCCCGCGGCCUAUCGAGUCGUUUGGUUGGGUGGGUAAUCGGACCCUACCGAAGGCGACGACGGGUAGCCGACCUGAGAGGGUCGACCGGCCAA
rnacentral:rRNA from 1 species